AAUUAAACUUCACUGACGUUCUAUUGCUCGACUUCUACGUAGUAGACACGAAUACAUGAUAGCAUUUAAAAGUUCUUAAGCAAUAUCAAACACAGACCGGAAAAUAAUUAUCUUGGGAUCAAAGCAAUUUUCCAACUUGGUAUUUAGUAACAGAAACUUUGAGAUAGUUGUAGAAGACAUUAUCUUAAACAUACUUUCACUUG
rnacentral:sRNA from 1 species